ensembl:lncRNA FAM182A family with sequence similarity 182 member A
AGUUCUCCUUGGCAGUGCUUGGGUGUCGGGACUCCGAGGUUCCGGCCUGACCGCUCCACGGGGUCGACAGGAACGUCUCCAGAUGCCAGGAGUCGCAAAGAGCCGACCACGACGAUGAGACCACGGGCGGAGUCCAGGGGAAGCAGCAAGGCAUCCCAGCCUCAGGCCUGCCCGGACGGUGUUCGGGUAAGAUUGGGGAAGAUGCCAGGUGAUAGAAUCCACCCUGCCUCUGACAGCAUCCAAUCUGGAGCAAAGGCUUAUUUCAACCCUCCCCCAAGCUCCCAAUACAAGCCCAAAUUCUGGAACAGGUCCUUUCCAACACCUCCUUCAGAGAAGCUCCCUGGCUCCAGGCAGUGCUUGCUCCCCUCACUGCAGCAGGAAGCCUAACUUGCGAACUGCAGGUGUGCUCCAGGUGGUCACUGGAUGCAAGGCAUUGACAGAUGGAUCCCAUCGAUACCCCCACUGCAAAACCAUAGUGCAGUGAAUAGAAGACACUUCUCUGCACCCCAAAAGCUCCAUGCUGAUUGUGAGAAGGAAAUGCUGGAUGGAGGGGUUCCUGGAACUACUGUGAGGGAAAUGGUGAGAGAACUUUGGAUGUGGAACGUGGAGGAGGAGGAACACGAAGUGGGGAUCUCCACUUGGGGUGGUCAGCACUGCGGGUGCCCAGCAAAGUCACUGCCUGGUCCACAUCCCGGAGGGGUCUCUGCGCCUCAGUCGGCAUCGCAGCUGAUGGUGAAACUUUUGGUGUGGCAGAAGAGUGUCCACAAACUUCGGAAGAUCGCUGCUCAGAGUGAGGAAUGGAGUUGUGUUUUGAAUAAAAUAUCCACGCAUCCUUUUGUGAGCAAGGA